UUGGGAGAUACACUUAUAAAUCUAUAGUUACAGGACAAUGUGCUAGUCAUAAUAAAAACACGACAGACUAUCAAGGGAACCCCACAGAAGAACACUGAAUCAUGCCAGAAAGUGGGAGAGUUCUCCAUGAGGUUAGGUCUUGAGCUGAGUUUAAAAUAAAGAGUAAGAGUUUAUCUAGAUAGAGGAAAGUGUUAGAAGACUCAUUUGGACAAUGACAGGGGCAACUAACAACAUGCCAGGUUAGAAACUACAAAUUGUGAUACCUGGAUCAAGGGAGGAAUCAUGGGAACGAGACCAGAAAGUUAUACAGAAUUCAAAAAGUUGAAGAGUCUUGAAUACUAGCCUAGAGAGUUGGGAACAUUGCAAAUUUUAAGCAGCAGAGUGGGGGAUCAAAUGUACAUUUUGGAGCAGACUGAUGAUUAUUUGGAAUGAAGAAGAGGAUAUCGGACUAGAGGCAGAGAGACUAGAAGCAAGGCCAAAGCAAUAAGCCAGGCCAUGUAUGAUGAGGGCCUGUAUGAAGGGCUUGCUAUGGCCAUGGCAAUGAUGAGGCAGGAAUAGGCUUUGAGGUAUCUCACCCAGAGGAUUCUGUAGAACUGAGUGACUAUCGGGUGUGUGGAAUGAGUGAGAAAUAAUUAAAAGGAUGAUUCUGCAAUUUCCAGCUUGAGGGACUCCACAUUAGGAAAAACCAUCUCCAAGAAAGGAACUGGAAGAUAAGUUGAUCUGGAAUUUGAAAACUUCCCUUACAGUUGGCAUUUCUAACACCCCAAUAGUAUGGAAUUACUAGCAAUAAGGCAAGGGUGGAAAAAUACCAAGUAUUAUAUGGAAGAAACCACAAGAGGAGGAGGAAGGCAGCACUUACAGGCAUGGUAGUGAGAGAAAAUAAUGAGAAAGACUUGUCCUUAGUAUGACAUGACUAGAAUUUUUUUCUCACAAUUUAUUGUCAGUAUUGAGGAGAUAUCUCAGGGAUAGACUGUCCUAGGAGAAGACAGCUACAGAAAGGCCAGAUGGAUUGGUGGAAUAAUCUGGGAAUUUUGCAAAUAGCACUUUGAAAAAUCAACAAAACUCUUUUUGGACUUUCUUCAGAAGCAAUGCCCCCAAAGUCAAUCCUGGAAGGUCACUCUCAAGAGGUCACCCACUUACCAAUUCCCAUGGCCUAAUUCUGCUGAUUUGCACAGACUCAUGUGGGGGCACUAUCCUUUAACCUAGAGUCUGUGGUCAGCACUGGCUUCCCUCCUAGAGUGGGGGCAGGAGCAACAUGACCAGAACCUUGUGACAAAUGCCUGUUUCCAUCUGGGGUCUUGUCUGUGCAUGCCUCCAUCAGGGGGUGAAUGACUUGGAUUUCCUGUGCAUGUCAUACCAAGGCAGAGUUGAGCUGGAACCAAAGGAGGGUUGAGCCAUUCUCUUAUCCUUUUUCCUUCUCCCUUCAGGCAUUUGAAAAACAAAAAAACAAACUCUUGCUCUGGAGAAUGGUUCAAGAUCUGUCAAAUUUAGAGAAAGAAAUAAAAGAAAAUGGAGAAUUAAUUCUUAAUGAGGAACCCAGCUUAGUAUUUACCUCUUGCUCCCCAAACUCAGUUUUCACUAAUCCCUGAGACACCUUCCACCUGCUCCUGCUUAGGCAGGGUAUAAGAUAACCAGUAUCAGCACAAUCCUCUGGGGUUGGGGGUAGCCAUUCAGACAUGAGGGCUGAUGAGUGUUGGCAUUUUGUUCUUCACAAUGUGUAUUUUUAAUUCCUUUCUUCUGCUAUAUCUUUCAUGUUCCUUUCUCUCAUAUUUUCUUUCCUGUCAUUCCCUUGUUUCCUUCCUUUCCUCUCUCCACUCUUUUCGUAAUUUUUACCUCUUGUCCCUUCUAUCUUUAUUUCUUUCUGACAUUAUUCCCUUGCUUGCUUCGAUUCUGAUUCCUUCUUCCUUCUCUUCCCACUUUUCCCUUUCUUCUUGACUAGAGUAAUAGAGUAUGGACUCAAGGCAUAUUUCUGGGUUUGACUCAAGUCUAUCACUUCUAUGGUAUAUGAUCAUGAGUAAAUAUCUAAACUUUCCUAUAUCACAUUUUCCCUAUCUGCAAUGGGAAAAUACUAAUCACAUCUAUUUCAGUUUUGUUCCAAGUGUUAAAUGAGAUCAUGUGAUGUGCUAGGCAUAGGCCUGGCAAUUAAUAAUCAUGCUAUAAAUGUAAGAUGCUACUGUUAAAUUUUAGGCUUCCUUUGGAAACCCAGUUCUUUCUCCAGGCAUUUUUUACCCCAUUGAUAUGUUUAAGAAUUUCAGUAGUCCCUGGCCACACCUCCCUCAUUAUGAUUUUGCAUACAAACUCUAAAAAAUUGUACUCUUUUUCUACAUGAACCCUUCCUGAGCCAUCUCACUCAAAUUUUCCUUUUCUCUAUACUACAAAAAGGGCAAAACCCAGUAUUUUCUUUAUUAUUAUUAUUGUUGUUUUUAAUAGUUAUUUUCCCAGUACAAUUUUUUUUUCUACUGUAUAGCAUGAUGACCCAGUUACACAUACAUGUACACAUUCUAUUUUGGCACAUUAUCAUGUUCCAUCAUAAGUGACUAGACAUAAUUCCAAGUGCUAAACAGCAGGAUCUUAUAGCUAAUCCAUCCCAAAGGCAAUAGUGUGUAUCUAUUAACCCAAAGCUCCCCAACCACUCCACUCCCUCUUCCUUCCCCUUGGCAACCACAAGUCUAUUCUGUAAGUCCAUGAUUUUAUUUUUGUGGAAAAGUUCAUUUGUGCCUCCUUAUAUUAGAUUCCAGAUAUGUGAUAUCAUAUGGUAUUUGUCUUUCUCUUUCUGACUUACCUCACUCAUUAUGAGAGUCUCUAUUUCCAUCCAUGUUGCUGCAAAUGGCAUUAUUUCAUUCUUUUUUCAUGGCUGAGUAGUAUUCAAUUGUGUAUAUAUACCACAUCUUCCUAAUCCAUUCAUCUGUCAGUGGACAUUUGGGUUGUCUCCAUGUCUUGGCUAUUGUGAAUAGAGCUGAAAUGAACAUGCGGGUAAGUGUGUCUUUUUUAAGGAAAGUUUUGUCUGGAUAUAUGCCCAAGAGUGGGAUUUCUGGGUCAUAUGGUAGUUCUAUGUAUAGAUUUCUAAGGUACCUCCAUACUGUUCUCCAUAGUGGUUGUACCAGCUUACAUUCUCACCAACAGUGCAGGAGGGUUUCCUUUUCUCCACACCCCCUCAAGCAUUUGAUAUUUGUGGACUUAUUAAUGAUGGCCAUUCUGACUGGUGUGAGGUGAUAUCUCAUGGUAGUUUUGGUUUGCAUUUCUCUAAUAAUCAGUGAUGUUGAGCAUUUUUUCAUGUGCUUAUUGGCCGUCUGUACAUCUUCCUUGGAAAAGCAUCUAUUCAGGUCUUUUGCCCAUUUUUCCAUUGGGUCUUUGGCUUUUUUGCUGUUGAGUUGUAUAAGUUGCUUAUAUAUUCUAGAGAUUAAGCCCUUGCCAGUUGUACCAUUUGAAACUAUUUCCUACCAUUCUGUAAGUUGUCUUUUGUUUUCUUUUUGGUUUCCUUUGCUGUGCAAAAGCUUGUCAGUUUGAUUUGGUCUCAUUGGUUUAUUUUUGCUCUUAUUUCUGUUGCUUUGGGAGACUGUCCUGAGAAAAUAUUCAUAAGGUUGAUAUCAGAGAAUGUUUUGCCUAUGCUCUCUUCCAGGAGUUUGAUGGUGUCUUGUCUUACAUUUAAGUCUUUAAGCCAUUUUGAGUUUAUUUUUGUGCAUGGUGUGUUCUAGCUUCAUUGAUUUACAUGCAGCUGUCCAGGUUUCCCAGCAAUGCUUGCUGAAAAGACUGUCUUUUUUCCUAUUUUAUGUUCUUGCCUCCUUUGUCAAAGAUUAAUUGACCACAGGUGUCUGGGUUUCUUUCUGGGUUCUCUAUUCUGUUCCGUUGGUCUAUAUGUCUGUUUUGGUACCAGUGCCACACUGUCUUGAUGACUGUGGCUUUGCAAUAUUGCCUGAAGUCUGGGAGAGUUAUGCCUCCUGCUUGAAAACCCAGUAUUUUCUUUUCUUAUGUCAUAUUUUUUGUUACUUCUGGACAUCAGAGAAGCAACACAAUGCAUAUUAUAACAAUAGGUUUUGAUGAUGAACAUUUUAGUUGAUCAUCAAGUAGUUAAAGACCUAAGCAAGAGCAGGCUCAUGUUUUGAAUUCAGUCUCUGAAUUAAAUGAAUGGAGCACUUUAGUUCUUAUACCAUGCUUGUAAGUUUGGCUGGUCACAUGAGCCAAUUUAUCUACUGGCUUUGCUCUGAUGAUUAUUUUUUUUUUUGUCCACAUGUUUGGCUUAGGCUAAUGGGUAGUCCGUUUUUCCUGAAGGUAGUUUUUUUUUUUUUUUCUUGCUAUGUUUAGAUUUUUUUAUUGCAUUAAUUUUUAAAACUAUAAAUAAAAUCUUUCUCAUCUGUGGAAAUAAAACUAAAAGUAAAACUAGGGAAGAAUGUUGUCUUUAUGUCAAGAAUUAAAACUUACAAACUACAGGGUAAUAUUGGAAUAGAAAUGGGUAUCAUUAGACAAAAUACAGAAACAAGGUUCUAGUACUUAACAAAAUUUACUGAAAUGAUAAGAUGGCAUUUAAGUUAAAUAGAAAAAGCAAGGCUUAUUCAAAAAAUCAUAUGGCAUUGCUUUUAGCCUUAUUUGAUAUCGUAUAUAAAAAUAAAUUCCAAAUAUAUUAACAUAAAUAAAACUUAAAACUAAGUAAAAAAAUACUAGAAUAAAACAUAGAAGAAUAUUAGUAAAACACCCUGAUGAAGGUGGCUUUUGUAAGCUUGCUGAGAAACUUGGAUCGUAAAGCAAAGAUUGACAGAUUUAGUUUCAUAAAAAGUAAAACAUUCUCAUUUGCAAAAGACACCAUAAACAAAGGCAGAAAACUAUUUGCAAAAAACAUUGUAGACAGAAAAUAAAUAUAAUUAUUAUGUAAACUUCAUAAGCACAUUUAUAAAAAAAGAAAAACAAAACUAUUCGGAAUGGAUAUGAGAAGUAGGCAAAAUGUAGAUAUGGCCAGUGAAAAUUUAUAAAUAUGCUCAACUUCAUGAGUGGAAAAAAGUUAAAAUGUUAAGAUGUCAUUUUUACUCCAUCAGAUCAGUAAGCCGAAAAGGACUUAGCUAAUGCCAGUAAAGAUAUGGGGCAAUUGACAUUUAUUUAUUUAUUUUUGUCUUUUGUCUUUUUUUAGGGCUGCACCUGUCGCAUAUGGAGGUUCCCAGCCUAGGGGUCUAAUUGGAGUUGUUGCUGCCCACCUACACUACACCUCACGGCAAUGCUGGAUCCUUAACCCACUGAGCAAGGCCAGGGAUUGAACCGCAACCUCAUGGUUCCUAGUCAGAUUCGUUUCCGCUGUACCACUACAGGAACUCUGCUAUGGACAUUUUUUUAUACUGUUCACAAGAAUGUGAAUUUUUAACAUUAAAAAAUGUACUUACUCUUUAUCUCAGCGAUCUUUUCUUUCUUCUAGGAAUCCAUCCUACAGAAAAUACCAAUACAUAAGGAUGAAGAACAAGGAUGUCUAUUAUUAAUAACCUAUAUGUAUGUUGUUAAUAUAAGUUAAGGUGAACAGCAUAAUAGUGUAACUUACCUACAUUGUGAAAUGCACAAGUUUAAUAACUUUCUAUCAUCCUAUAGAU
rnacentral:lncRNA from 1 species